rnacentral:rRNA from 1 species
UACGUAGGUCCCGAGCGUUAUCCGGAUUUAUUGGGCGUAAGGCGAGCGCAGGCGGUUAGAUAAGUCUGAAGUGAAAGGCUGUGGCUUAACCAUAGUAUGCUUUGGAAACUGUUUAACUUGAGUGCAGAGGGGGAGAGUGGAAUUCCAUGUGUAGCGGUGAAAUGCGUAGAUAUAUGGAGGAACACCAGUGGCGAAGGCGACUCUCUGGUCCGUAACUGACGCUGAGGCUCGAAAGCGUGGGGAGCAAACAGG